UGGGGAAUCUUGCACAAUGGGGGAAACCCUGAUGCAGCGACGCCGCGUGAGCGAAGAAGCCUUUCGGGGUGUAAAGCUCUUACGCCAGGGACGAUAAUGACGGUACCUGGAGAAGCAGCUGCGGCUAACUACGUGCCAGCAGCCGCGGUAAUACGUAGGCAGCAAGCGUUGUUCGGAAUUACUGGGCGUAAAGGGUGCGUAGGCGGCGCCUUAAGUUUGGUGUGAAAUCUCCCGGAUCAACCGGGAGGGUGCACUGAAAACUGGGGCGCUCGAGUGUGGGAGGGGAGAGCGGAAUUCCGGGUGUAGCGGUGAAAUGCGUAGAUAGCAGGAGGAACACCUGUGGUGUAGACGGCUUCCUGGACCGUGACUGACGCUGAGGCACGAAAGCGUGGGGAGCAAACA
rnacentral:rRNA from 1 species